rnacentral:rRNA from 1 species
CGCGUGGGUAACCUGCCUUUCGGAUGGGGAUAGCUCCGGGAAACCGGAAUUAAUACCGAAUGUAGUUAAACUAUCACAUGGUAGAGUAAUGAAAGAUUUAUCGCCGAAAGAUGGAUCCGCGUCCCAUUAGCUAGUUGGUGAGAUAAUAGCUCACCAAGGCGACGAUGGGUAGCCGGCCUGAGAGGGUGAACGGCCACACUGGGACUGAGACACGGCCCAGACUCCUACGGGAGGCAGCAGUGGGGAAUAUUGCGCAAUGGGGGGAACCCUGACGCAGCAACGCCGCGUGAACGAAGAAGGUUUUCGGAUCGUAAAGUUCUGUCAGAGGGGAAGAAUAAUGACGGUACCCUCAGAGGAAGCCCCGGCUAACUACGUGCCAGCAGCCGCGGUAAUACGUAGGGGGCGAGCGUUGUCCGGAAUUACUGGGCGUAAAGGGCGUGUAGGCGGUUUUUUAAGUCAGGCGUUAAAAUUCGGGGCUUAACCCCGGAGUGCGUUUGAAACUGAAGAACUUG